rnacentral:rRNA from 1 species
UGAGGAAUAUUGGGCAAUGCCCGCAAGGGUGACCCAGCAACGCCGCGUGAAUGAUGAAGGUCGUAAGAUCGUAAAAUUCUUUUAGCGGGGACGAAAAACAGUAAUUCGUAAGGGUUAUUGCUUGACUGUACCCGCAGAAAAAGCCCCGGCUAACUACGUGCCAGCAGCCGCGGUAAUACGUAGGGGGCAAGCGUUGUCCGGAUUUACUGGGUGUAAAGGGCGCGUAGGCGGACUUGUAAGUCAGAGGUGAAAUCCUGCAGCUUAACUGCAGAACUGCCUUUGAUACUGCAAGCCUUGAGUUCGAAAGAGAGAGAUGGAAUUCCAGGUGUAGUAGUGAAAUACGUAGAUAUCUGGAAGAACACCAGUGGCGAAGGCGAUCUCUUGGUUCGUAACUGACGCUGAGGCGCGAAAGCGUGGGUAGCAAACAGG